rnacentral:rRNA from 1 species
GACAGAGGGUGCGAACGUUGCUCGGAAUGACUGGGCGUAAAGCGCGUGCAGGCGGCUCUGCAAGUCCGAUGUGAAAGCCCAGGGCUCAACCCUGGAAGUGCAUCGGAAACUACGGGGCUCGAGUCCUGGAGAGGAGAGCGGAAUUCCCGGUGUAGAGGUGAAAUUCGUAGAUAUCGGGAGGAACACCAGUGGCGAAGGCGGCUCUCUGGACAGGUACUGACGCUGAGACGCGAAAGCGUGGGUAGCAAACAGG